CAUGCAUGUCUAAGUACAAGCCUCAGUAAGGUGAAACCGCGAAUGGCUCAUUAAAUCACACCUAAUCUACUGGAAAGUUACUAGUUACUUGGAUAACUGAGGUAAUUCUUGAGCUAAUACAUGCGAAAAAUCUCGACUCACGGAGAGAUGCUUUUAUUAGAUCAAAACCAAACGGCUUCGGCCGUCUCAUUGGUGACUCUGAAUAACUUUGGGCUGAUCGUAUGGCCUUGUGCCGACGACGUUUCCUUCGAAGGUGUGCCCUAUCAACUGUCGACUGUGAUAUAGACGCUCACAGUGGUUUUGACGGGUAACGGGGAAUCAGGGUUCGAUUCCGGAGAGGGAGCCUUAAAAACGGCUACCACAUCCAAGGAAGGCAGCAGGCACGCAAAUUACCCAAUGAACGAAGUUCGAGGUAGUGACGAAAAAUAACGAUACAGGACUCAUCCGAGGCCCUGUAAUUGGAAUGAGUACACUUUAAAACCGUUCCCGAGGAUCUAUUGGAGGGCAAGUCUGGUGCCAGCAGCCGCGGUAAUUCCAGCUCCAAUAGCGUAUAUUAAAGUUGUUGUGGUUAAAAAGCUCGUAGUUGGAUCUCGGCGGACAGAAGUCGGUCCGAAUGCUUUCGGUACUGGCUUGUUUGUUCGUGUGUUUUGCCAGAGGCAGGCGGGUGCUCUUCGCCGAGUGUCCGUUUGUGCUGGCAGGUUUACUUUGAAAAAAUUAGAGUGCUCAAAGCAAGCUCUUACGCUUGAAUAUUCGUGCAUGGAAUAAUAGAAUAGGAUGUCGUUUCUAUUUUGUUGGUUUUCGGAAAUCGACAUAAUGAUUAAUAGGGACAGUCGGGGGCAUUUGUAUUCAAACGACAGAGGUGAAAUUCUUGGACCGUUUGAAGACAAACUACUGCGAAAGCAUUUGCCAAGAAUGUUUUCAUUAAUCAAGAACGAAAGUUAGAGGUUCGAAGGCGAUUAGAUACCGCCCUAGUUCUAACCAUAAACGAUGCCAGCUAGCGAUCUGCAGGCGUUUUACUUUACGACCUUGCAGGGAGCUUCCGGGAAACCAAAGCUUGUGGGUUCCAGGGGAAGUAUGGUUGCAAAGCUGAAACUUAAAGGAAUUGACGGAAGGGCACCACCAGGAGUGGAGCCUGUGGCUUAAUUUGACUCAACACGGGAAAUCUCACCAGGCCCGGACACGAGAAGGAUUGACAGAUUGAUAGCUCUUUCUUGAUUUCGUGGGUGGUGGUGCAUGGCCGUUCUUAGUUGGUGGAGUGAUUUGUCUGGUUAAUUCCGAUAACGAACGAGACUCUGUCCUGCUAACUAGUGUCUGCUUCUUUUCUGAGCAGAUUAUUCUUCUUAGAGGGACUGGUAGCUCUUAGCUACACGAGAUUGAGCAAUA
rnacentral:rRNA from 1 species